rfam:Helicobacter bizzozeronii CCTG 35545, WGS project CAGP01000000 data, contig: tsc_c4
UGGGGCGUAGCCAAGUGGCAAGGCAGCAGGUUUUGGUCCUGCCAUUCGUGGGUUCGAAUCCUUCCGCCCCAA